GUUAGGUUUCAUGUGCCUAGAUCUAGGAAAAUUGGAAAUGGGCUAGAAUGGGUUCUUGGCCAGACGGACUUUCAGAGCGAAUCUCGAAUUUGCCGGAAGUACGUCUGGGUGUUUCCCAGGCUAAAAUUGAAUGAUGAAU